rnacentral:miRNA from 1 species
AAUAAUCGGCUGUGUUUGGUCA